GCUCUCUUAGUAUAACUGGAUAGUGCACUUGCCCUGUAAGCUAGUAGAGUGGGUUCGAGUCCUACAGAGAGCUCA
rnacentral:tRNA from 1 species